rnacentral:rRNA from 1 species
UACGUAGGGGGCGAGCGUUGUCCGGAGUUACUGGGCGUAAAGCGCACGCAGGCGGUCUGCUAAGUUUGGGGUGACAGUUGGUGGCUUAACUGCCAAAGUGCUUCGAAAACUGACAGACUUGAGGGCUGCAGAGGGACACGGAAUUCCGGGUGGAGUGGUGAAAUGCGUAGAGAUCCGGAGGAACACCAAAGGCGAAGGCAGUGUCCUGGGGAGUACCUGACGCUCAGGUGCGAAAGCCAGGGGAGCGAACGGG